GCCCGCGACAGCACUUGGCAGAAUGGGGGGGAUAGCCUAGCGAUAGGUGAAAGAGGAUUCUUAGUUAUUAAGCCCUUUUCCCCCCACCCUGACUACGUCUAAAGAAGUUCUGGAUAUAAAACUGAAAUAUGACAAUUUUAUAUCAGAAGUCUUGACCAAAUUACGUGCCAGCAGUCGCGGUAAUACGUAGAAGACGAGUGUUAGUCAUCUUUAAUAGGUUUAAAGGGUACCUAGACGGCAUUAUUAACCCUAAACGGAAAUAGUUUUGCUAGAGUUUUAUAUGAGAAGGGGAGUAUUUACGGAGUAGAGAUGAAAUUCUUUGAUACCUUAAGGACUGGCAAGGGCGAAAGCGGCCUUCUAUGUAAAAACUGACGUUGAGGGACGGAGGCUUAGAUAGCGAACAGGAUUAGAUACCCUAGUAGUCUUUGCAGAGAAUUAUGAAUGCCAUAGAUUAGAUUUUCUGGUUUAUAAAUGAAAGUGUAAGCAUUCCACCUCAUGAGUAAUGUGGCAACGCAGGAACUGAAAUCAUUAGACCGUUUCUGAGAACAGUAGUGAAGUAUGUUAUUUAAUUCGAUGGCCCUCGAAAAACCUUACCACAACUUGAAUUUAGCAUAGGCGAUCAUCUGAGGAAGGAGUGAUUAAGCCUUUAGUAGGACCAUUCGUGGGUGUUUGUACUGGAUAAUUUUUUUUUUUAUUCAGCACAAGCUGACGGGCUAGGUAAUCUACGGAUUAAGCUGACGUGCUUAACCUACGGAUUAAGCUAUGGCCUAGUGUGAAAUCUAAGCACUGAUUAUGGUAGAUUUCGUAGUUGUAAAAUUGCAUCUUUUUUUUUUCGUCUCACCGUGCUCUCUUGCGCAGAGAUGAAAAAAAAAACGAUCUUUAAUUUUUUUAUUUUCGUCUCACCUUUUACCCCUACUGACACAGAAGUAAGGCUGAGAUGAGAAUAAAAAUUGCACUAAACGGUGUUAAACAAGUGUUGCACGGUUGUCUUCAGUUAAUGUCGUGAGAUGAUGGUUAGCUCCAUAAAAUUAGCGGAAACCCCGGCUUUAUUUUUAAAUUUUUUAUCAUAAAGCAGUUCAUCAUUAUAUCGAAUAAUCGUGAUAACAGGACCAAGACAAAUUCAUUCUU
rnacentral:rRNA from 1 species